rnacentral:lncRNA from 1 species
ACUGCAGGACCAAAUAUAAUUUGGAUUACAGGGAUGGAUUGGGAGUUCUUAUUGAAGCACAGGUCUUUAAGAAAGAAGAUUAAAUAUCUUUGGGAAAUAAUUUUAAGCCUUUAAAAAAUUCACUGCUUUUAAUCUAUUAUUCAGAUCUGUAUGCCAGCUCUUCACCCCCUCAUAUUUGAAAAUAAAAAUUUUCCAGAUUUUUUAUGGUUCAUUA